UUUGUCAUUCGUAUAAUUCUGGGCGCCGACGCAAAAGAUUCUUCCAGGCCUUAGAUUCAACUCCAUUGACGACACCGAUAAGACAUGCUGCAUCGAUGCUUAAUUCUACUCUUCGUGGUUAUGGCUCAGAUAUGGAAGUAUGGAGAGUGCACCCCGGCGUACUGUAACUUCCCAAUGCACCGCGGAAGAUGCUUUGCGGCGGUGCCCAAGUAUUAUUGGGACAAACAGAGCAAGAGCUGCAGACGCUUCUACUUCCAGGGCUUGUAUGGCAACAGGAACCAGUUCGACACGUAUAAGGACUGCAUGGACGCCUGCAAGACAGGGUCGGACUAUGUUUGAAAAUAAAGACACGACACUUCAUGUGGAGUUAGACAAUAAAAGAUACGGACUGUGCA